AGAGUUUGGAUCCUGGCUCAGGAUGAACGCUAGCUACAGGCUUAACACAUGCAAGUCGAGGGGAAACGAUAUUGGAAGCUUGCUUCCGAUAGGCGUCGACCGGCGCACGGGUGAGUAACGCGUAUCCAACCUGCCCACCACUUGGGGAUAACCUUGCGAAAGUAAGACUAAUACCCAAUGAUAUCUCUAGAAGACAUCUGAAAGAGAUUAAAGAUUUAUCGGUGAUGGAUGGGGAUGCGUCUGAUUAGCUAGUUGGUGGGGUAACGGCCUACCAAGGCGAUGAUCAGUAGCCGGUCUGAGAGGAUGAACGGCCACAUUGGGACUGAGACACGGCCCAGACUCCUACGGGAGGCAGCAGUGGGGAAUCUUCCGCAAUGGGCGAAAGCCUGACGGAGCAAUGCCGCGUGAGUGAUGAAGGAAUUCGUUCCGUAAAGCUCUUUUGUUUAUGACGAAUGUGCAGAUUGUGAAUAAUGGUCUGUAAUGACGGUAGUAAACGAAUAAGCCACGGCUAACUACGUGCCAGCAGCCGCGGUAAUACGUAGGUGGCGAGCGUUGUCCGGAAUUAUUGGGCGUAAAGAGCAUGUAGGCGGUUUUUUAAGUCUGGAGUGAAAAUGCGGGGCUCAACCCCGUAUGGCUCUGGAUACUGGAAGACUUGAGUGCAGGAGAGGAAAGGGGAAUUCCCAGUGUAGCGGUGAAAUGCGUAGAUAUUGGGAGGAACACCAGUGGCGAAGGCGCCUUUCUGGACUGUGUCUGACGCUGAGAUGCGAAAGCCAGGGUAGCGAACGGGAUUAGAUACCCCGGUAGUCCUGGCAGUAAACGAUGGGUACUAGGUGUAGGAGGUAUCGACCCCUUCUGUGCCGGAGUUAACGCAAUAAGUACCCCGCCUGGGGAGUACGUCCGCAAGGAUGAAACUCAAAGGAAUUGACGGGGGCCCGCACAAGCGGUGGAGUAUGUGGUUUAAUUCGACGCAACGCGAAGAACCUUACCAAGGCUUGACAUUGAAUGACCGCUCCAGAGAUGGAGCUUUCCCUUCGGGGACAUGAAAACAGGUGGUGCAUGGCUGUCGUCAGCUCGUGUCGUGAGAUGUUGGGUUAAGUCCCGCAACGAGCGCAACCCCUAUCCUAUGUUACCAGCGGGUAAUGCCGGGGACUCAUAGGAGACUGCCAAGGACAACUUGGAGGAAGGCGGGGAUGACGUCAAGUCAUCAUGCCCCUUAUGUCUUGGGCUACACACGUACUACAAUGGUCGGCAACAGAGGGAAGCAAAGCCGUGAGGCAGAGCAAACCCCAGAAACCCGAUCCCAGUUCGGAUUGCAGGCUGCAACUCGCCUGCAUGAAGUCGGAAUCGCUAGUAAUCGCAGGUCAGCAUACUGCGGUGAAUACGUUCCCGGGCCUUGUACACACCGCCCGUCACACCACGAAAGUUGGUAACACCCGAAGCCGGUGGGGUAACCGUAAGGAGCCAGCCGUCUAAGGUGGGGCCGAUGAUUGGGGUGAAGUCGUAACAAGGUA
rnacentral:rRNA from 1 species